rnacentral:rRNA from 1 species
AUUGAAAGCUGGCGGCAGGACUAACACAUGCAAGUCGAGCGAGCGGCGGACGGGGGAGUAAUGUCUGGGAAACUGACUGAUGGAGGGGGAUAAAUACUGGAAAAGGUAGCUAAUACCGCAUACCAUCAGAUGUGCCCAGAUGGGAUUAGCUAGUGGGUGGGGUAACGGCUCACCUAGGCGACGAUCCCUAGCUGGUCUGAGAGGAUGACCAGCCACACUGGAACUGAGACACGGUCCAGACUCCUACGGGAGGGAGCAGUGGGGAAGAUUGCACAAUGGGCGCAAGCCUUAUGCAGCCAGGCCGCGUGUGUGAAGAAGGGCUUCGGGUUGUAAAGCACUUUCAGCGGGGAGGCGUUACCCGCAGAAGAAGCACCGGCUAACUCCGUGCCAGCAGCCGCGGUAAUAC